rnacentral:rRNA from 1 species
GUCCACGCAGUAAACGAUGAUAACUCGUUGUCGGCGAUAUACAGUCGGUGACCAAGCGAAAGCGAUAAGUUAUCCACCUGGGGAGUACGUUCGCAAGAAUGAAACUCAAAGGAAUUGACGGGGGCCCGCACAAGCGGAGGAACAUGUGGUUUAAUUCGAUGAUACGCGAGGAACCUUACCCGGGCUUGAAAGUUAGUGACGGAUGCCGAAAGGUGUCUUCCCUUCGGGGCACGAAACUAGGUGCUGCAUGGUUGUCGU